rnacentral:rRNA from 1 species
AACGAACGCUGGCGGCAGGCCUAACACAUGCAAGUCGAGCGCACCCUUCGGGUGAGCGGCGGACGGGUUAGUAACGCGUGGGAACGUGCCCUUCACUAAGGAAUAGCCACUGGAAACGGUGAGUAAUACCUUAUACGCCCUUCGGGGAAGAGUUUAUCGGUGAAGGAUCGGCCCGCGUUAGAUUAGGUAGUUGGUGGGGUAAUGGCCGUACCAAGCCUACGAUCUAUAGCUGGUUUUAGAGGAUGAUCAGCAACACUGGGACUGAGACACGGCCCAGACUCCUACGGGA